CAUAUGCUUGUCUCAAAGAUUAAGCCAUGCAUGUCUAAGUAUAAGCGACUUUAUACUGUGAAACUGCAUACAGCUCAUUAUAUCAGUUAUAAUUUAUUUGAAAGUGUCUUACUACAUGGAUAACCGUAGUAAUUCUAGAGCUAAUACAUGCGCAAAGUCCGGACCCUCGUGGAAAGGAUGUAUUUAUUAGAUAAACAAUGCCUCUGUCACAGGAGGGUUUUGUGGUGAAUCAUAAUAACUGUUCGAAUCGCAUGGCCUCGUGCCGGCGAUAGUUCAUUCAAAUUUCUGCCCUAUCAGCUUUCGACGGUACUGUAGUGGACUACCGUGGCGUUAACGGGUGACGGGGAAUUAGGGUUCGAUUCCGGAGAGGGAGCCUGAGAAACGGCUACCACAUCUAAGGAAGGCAGCAGGCGCGCAAAUUACCCAAUCCUGAUACAGGGAGGUAGUGACAAUAAAUAACGAUGACGGGCGUUCUACGUCUGUUAAUUGGAAUGAGAACAAUUUAAAAACCUUAACGAGGAUCCACUGGAGGGCAAGUCUGGUGCCAGCAGCCGCGGUAAUUCCAGCUCCAGUAGCGUAUGCUAAAGUUGUUGCAGUUAAAAAGCUCGUAGUUGGAUUUCUGGCGUCAAACACCUGACCCUCCCUCGCUAGAGGUGUGUGUGCCGGAGUGUUUGUAUCAUCCUUUCAGUGAUCGGUUCUACCCCUAACCGGGUCGGAGCUGCUAACUGGAUCCUUUACUGUGAAAAAAUUAGAGUGUUCAAAGCAGGCUUACGUUUGAAUACAUUAGCAUGGAAUAAUAAUAUAGGACUUUGGUCUUAUUUUGUUGGUUUCUAAGGCGAAAGUAAUGAUUGAUAGGGAUAGUUGGGGGUGCUAGUAUUCAGCGGCCAGAGGUGAAAUUCUUUGAUCCGCCGAAGACUAACUUAUGCGAAAGCAUUCACCAAGGAUGUCUUCUUUAAUCAAGAACGAAAGUUGGGGGAUCGAAGACGAUCAGAUACCGUCGUAGUCUCAACCAUAAACUAUACCGACUAAGGAUGAGUGAACCGUUGUAUUUUCGACAUCAUUGGCACUUUAUGAGAAAUCAAAGUCUUUGGGUUCCGGGGGGAGUAUGGUCGCAAGGCUGAAACUUAAAGGAAUUGACGGAAGGGCACCACCAGGAGUGGAGCCUGCGGCUUAAUUUGACCCAACACGGGAAAACUUACCAGGUCCAGACAUAGUGAGGAUUGACAGAUUGAAGAUCUUUCUUGAUUCUAUGGGUGGUGGUGC
rnacentral:rRNA from 1 species